rnacentral:rRNA from 1 species
GACGAACGCUGGCGGCGUGCCUAAUACAUGCAAGUCGAGCGCAGGAAAUCGACGGAACCCUUCGGGGGGAAGUCGAUGGAAUGAGCGGCGGACGGGUGAGUAACACGUAAAGAACCUGCCCUCAGGUCUGGGAUAACCACGAGAAAUCGGGGCUAAUACCGGAUGGGUCAUCGGACCGCAUGGUCCGAGGAUGAAAGGCGCUACGGCGUCGCCUGGGGAUGGCUUUGCGGUGCAUUAGCUAGUUGGUGGGGUAAUGGCCCACCAAGGCGACGAUGCAUAGCCGACCGGAGAGAGUGAUCGGCCACACUGGGACUGAGAGCCGGCCCAGACUCCUACGGGAGGCAGCAGUAGGGAAUCUUCCACAAUGGAGGAAAGUCUGAUGGAGCAACGCCGCGUGAACGAUGAAGGCCUUCGGGUCGUAAAGUUCUGUUGUAAGGGAAGAACAAGUGCCGCAGGCAAUGGCGGCACCUUGACGGUACCUUGCGAGAAAGCCACGGCUAACUACGUGCCAGCCGCCGCCGUAACAC